ensembl:lncRNA
AAAACGUAUUUGGCAGUUUCCAUGAUUUAACCCAAGAGAUAUUACCAAAUAAAGAAGAACAAAAAAAUCUUGCUGCAGGUAAGGACGCAGAACAAAGAGCAUUAUAAUGCGUGCGCGAGCCCUCCUGAUGAAGAAAAUGACGUAAUGCGGACGUUGCACGGACGGCACGCGCUGGGCAGAAAUUCAGCUCAACAUCGGUCUCAGUGCAGUGCCAGGCGAAAGCAGGCUUACACCGGGAGAGAGACUGAUAGGCAUUGAAUUAACACAAAUGCUUACACAUAUGUAGCCUAUAGUUAAAAUAGGAUAAGCAUUACGCUACAUAGACCGAGACCGCUGCUCAGGAUCCUGCGUCAGAACAGGCAAGAAAAAGCUUUUCCUUUCACUUUCGAUUUAGAAAGAAUGCUGAUGUUUGUAAUGGCCUAGUUUCGGCUAUUGAUUCUUGUCCAGGGUUUGUUCACAGCACGCGACAGUGCAGCAGGUGAAAAUGGGGACAACAGGGUCACGUCCACCACCUGUAAGAUCUCCAUCUGAGGAGAGGAAGAGAGAACAAGAAAGAAGAGAGAAAGAAAUGGGUGCCCUUCAAGUACGUCAUGAAUUGCCAGCGGCAUCAGGAGCAGCAGGAGCAGAAGACCGACCGGACAGAAGCUCAGACCAAUCUUCAAAGUUGAAGACUGAAGCACUGAGACCUGUGCAACGUAACAGCAAAGAAUUAAAUCCCCCUAGCACGUUGUCACACAGACCUAUGCAAUGCAUGAGUUGGGCAAAUAUCUGCAUGAGAUCCGUUGUUUGCUACUAAAUCUAAAGUGCCUGAAAGUGAGGCCAAACCUCCAGCUACUCCCUGAACAGACCACGAUUGCACUGAAGCUAGUUGAAGGAUUUUCCAGGUUUCCAGUGAAGGUUGAGUACAA